UUUUACUCUUUUUAGUUUAUAUUUAUUUGUUUUAUAUGUAUGUAUAUCUAUGUGGAGACUAACAGUUAUAAUAUUUGUGAUAUCAGGUGUCCUCUGUUUCUAACCUAACUUUUCAGGAAUGGAGAAUAUCGACACCAUGCCAGUAAUCUUCCGUGACCCAGUUCAAGAGCAGUGUUACAACAUACUUUCACAGCGCCUGGUGCUGCCUACUAGAUAUCCC
rnacentral:lncRNA from 1 species